GCAGCAAUUGCAGACAAUCUCUUGUGUUAUCACGGGUUUGUGUCAACUAUCGAAUUAAUUUGUUUACAUAUUUCAGUUAUUCACAUUUGUUCCGGAAAUUAAACAAGUGGGCUCACCAUGCCGCACUUUUUUUGAAUUUCUCAGUUCUAGGCCAAUGCUUCAAAUUGAGAAGCCCAUGUGAGGAGCAAGUAUCAGGCAUUGCAACCGACACGUAGGUGGGACUGGAUGAGCUGUGUGAGCAGAGAAGUGGCGAGGUGUGUCAGUCGACAUCGUCUGACCCUGAAUCGAGAAGGGUCAUAUUAACGCUGAUGGAUUCAGAGUGUGACACUAUGAAUCUGCCACCAGCAAUUGUCAUCCCAUCACCUGGUAGGGUUUCAAGGGGUAUCCCGAGUCCCAAAAGCCAUCCACUUGCCCUGCCCUUACUCAGAAGCUCUUCUCCAUGCGGAAACUGAAUAUAAUUUGGUGCCAGAUUGCAGAUGGCUUUGGUGACUUCCAUGGGUUUGCGUGAAAUACACGGCUGUGACACCGAAGACAGGCUUGCAACCUCAGUCUGGAAGUCACCCUUGGCAAAACAACGCAGAGCAUUGUUACCUGCACAAGCACUGGCAAGGCUCUAUGUCUCCUUGUAGGCCUCUCCAGAACUGGACGUAGUUCUUCCACCAAAUUCAAAAUUAAAUGUCUUGGCAGAGGAUAAAAUGAAAUUAAAACACAGUCCGGAAAAUUUAACACAUCAUUAUGCGGUCUAAGUAGCCUUUCUGCCAUUACAUUUCUGUUAAUGUGUUCAUCUUCAUUGUCAAAGAUACCUACAAGCAGUGCUGCUGCCAUAUUUUUUUCAGUUAGUGACAGUUAUUUUGAUUUAGGACAGGGUGAAUGGCAACCUAACUUAGGCAUCCUAAGUUAGGAAUUUCCUAACUUAGGAUGAUUCUGUAAUGGCUAAAUUCCUAUCUUAAGAUAAGAUAGGAUCUCAUCCUAAGUUACGUUAGGAAACCUGCUUCUGUAAUACCAAAACCCCUAAAUGCCUUCCUAACUUAAGUUAGGAUAGGAUUUCAGAGUUUCUGUAAUGAGGCCCCUGUUCUAAAUGGCUGAAGUAUUAGGCCCACAUAGGAGAAUGUAAAGUCAACUAAGCUACUGAUACAACUAUAAAAUAGCAAGGUGAUCACUAAGACUACAGCAGACAACUAGGCUAAUAAAAAAAAAAAAAGGCUACUUUAAGGGCGUAGCUAGAAAUUAUAAUUAAGGUGUGCCUGUGAGAUUUUUCGGUGGCAUCAACCCAGUACAAGUGAGGGGCGCAUAUGACGGGUGGAACGCAAAUGACCUGCAAAUGUAAUCACUGUGAAUGUAAAUGUAAUUUGCUGUGCAAGCAUUCAUUUCAGGGUCUCCGAUGACGCGUCCAUAAUGCGCGCUGGCUGCGUUUUGACGGGUGCAAUGUGAGGCUAGUGCAAGAUUGCGGGGCUUGGAUUUAAACAUGGAAACCAUUUCAUCAUAGAUUGCUUUCAGGAGCUUCUGGGAAAUUGAGUUGCCUUCAUUUAUUUAUAGUGUGAAUAAACUUAUGAAACAGAGAAGUAUCGUCAUGUAAUCCAUUGAUUUCAACAAUGUAACUGUAUUCUAAAUACCAACUAUUUAAAUUAUAACCCUAACGGAAUACAGUU